rnacentral:rRNA from 1 species
CAGUCGAACGCUUCUUUUUCCCCGGAGCUUGCUCCACCGGAAAAAGAAGAGUGGCGAACGGGUGAGUAACACGUGGGUAACCUGCCCAUCAGAAGGGGAUAACACUUGGAAACAGGUGCUAAUACCGUAUAACAAUCAAAACCGCAUGGUUUUGAUUUGAAAGGCGCUUUCGGGUGUCGCUGAUGGAUGGACCCGCGGUGCAUUAGCUAGUUGGUGAGGUAACGGCUCACCAAGGCCACGAUGCAUAGCCGACCUGAGAGGGUGAUCGGCCACAUUGGGACUGAGACACGGCCCAAACUCCUACGGGAGGCAGCAGUAGGGAAUCUUCGGCAAUGGACGAAAGUCUGACCGAGCAACGCCGCGUGAGUGAAGAAGGUUUUCGGAUCGUAAAACUCUGUUGUUAGAGAAGAACAAGGAUGAGAGUAACUGUUCAUCCCUUGACGGUAUCUAACCAGAAAGCCACGGCUAACUACGUGCCAGCAGCCGCGGUAAUACGUAGGUGGCAAGCGUUGUCCGGAUUUAUUGGGCGUAAAGCGAGCGCAGGCGGUUUCUUAAGUCUGAUGUGAAAGCCCCCGGCUCAACCGGGGAGGGUCAUUGGAAACUGGGAGACUUGAGUGCAGAAGAGGAGAGUGGAAUUCCAUGUGUAGCGGUGAAAUGCGUAGAUAUAUGGAGGAACACCAGUGGCGAAGGCGGCUCUCUGGUCUGUAACUGACGCUGAGGCUCGAAAGCGUGGGGAGCAAACAGGAUUAGAUACCCUGGUAGUCCACGCCGUAAACGAUGAGUGCUAAGUGUUGGAGGGUUUCCGCCCUUCAGUGCUGCAGCUAACGCAUUAAGCACUCCGCCUGGGGAGUACGACCGCAAGGUUGAAACUCAAAGGAAUUGACGGGGGCCCGCACAAGCGGUGGAGCAUGUGGUUUAAUUCGAAGCAACGCGAAGAACCUUACCAGGUCUUGACAUCCUUUGACCACUCUAGAGAUAGAGCUUCCCCUUCGGGGGCAAAGUGACAGGUGGUGCAUGGUUGUCGUCAGCUCGUGUCGUGAGAUGUUGGGUUAAGUCCCGCAAC